rnacentral:rRNA from 1 species
UACGUAGGGAGCAAGCGUUGUCCGGAAUCAUUGGGCGUAAAGAGCGCGUAGGCGGCCAGAUAAGUCCGGUGUGAAAGUCACAGGCUCAACCUGUGAAUGCCGCUGGAAACUGUCUGGCUAGAGUCCGGAAGGGGCGAGUGGAAUUCCUGGUGUAGCGGUGAAAUGCGCAGAUAUCAGGAGGAACACCAAUGGCGAAGGCAGCUCGCUGGGACGGUACUGACGCUGAGGCGCGAAAGCGUGGGGAGCAAACAGG